rnacentral:rRNA from 1 species
AGUGAACGCUGGCGGUAGGCCUAACACAUGCAAGUCGAACGGCAGCACAGUAAGAGCUUGCUCUUACGGGUGGCGAGUGGCGGACGGGUGAGGAGUACAUCGGAAUCUACUUUUUCGUGGGGGAUAACGUAGGGAAACUUACGCUAGUACCGCAUACGACCUACGGGUGAAAGCAGGGGAUCGUCGGACCUUGCGCGAUUGAAUGAGCCGAUGUCGGAUUAGAUAGUUGGCGGGGUAAAGGCCAACCAAGGGGAGGAUCCGUAGCUGGUCUGAGAGAAUGAUAGGCCACCUUGGAACUGAGCCAGGGUCAAGACUCCUAAGGGACGCACCAGUGGGGAACAUUGGACAACGGGGGGAAGCAUGAUCCAGUCAUACCGCGUGGGUGACGAAGGCCUUGGGGUUGUAAAGCCCUUUUGUUGGGAAUGAAACGCAUUCGCUUAUUACGACGCUGUUGUGACGGUAACCAAAGAAUAAGCACCGGCUAACUUCGUG